GAUCAUUACUAGAGCAAAGGAUAGACAGCGCCCGCGGAGCUCGCUCCCGGGGCUACCCUACUCCCGUAGGGUUUAGAGUCGUCGGGCCUCUCGGAGAAGCUCGGUCCUGAACUCCACCCUUGAAUAAACUACCUUUGUUGCUUUGGCGGGCCGCCUCGUGCCAGCGGCUUCGGCUGUUGAGUGCCCGCCAGAGGACCCCAACUCUUGUUUUUAGUGAUGUCUGAGUACUAUAUAAUAGUUAAAACUUUCAACAACGGAUCUCUUGGUUCUGGCAUCGAUGAAGAACGCAGCGAAAUGCGAUAAGUAAUGUGAAUUGCAGAAUUCAGUGAAUCAUCGAAUCUUUGAACGCACAUUGCGCCCUCUGGUAUUCCGGGGGGCAUGCCUGUUCGAGCGUCAUUAUAACCACUCAAGCUCUCGCUUGGUAUUGGGGUUCGCGGUUUCGCGGCCCCUAAAAUCAGUGGCGGUGCCUGUCGGCUCUACGCGUAGUAAUACUCCUCGCGAUUGAGUCCGGUAGGUCUACUUGCCAGCAACCCCUAAUUUUUUUAAGGUUGACCUCGGAUCAGGUAGGGAUACCCGCUGAACUUAAGCAUAUCAA
rnacentral:rRNA from 1 species